rnacentral:rRNA from 1 species
GAUGAACGCUAGCGAUAGGCCUAACACAUGCAAGUCGAGGGGCAUCACAUGAAGUAGCAAUACGGAUGGUGGCGACCGGCGCACGGGUGAGUAACACGUAUGCAACCUGCCUUCAACAAGGGGAUAACCCGUUGAAAGACGGACUAAUACCCUAUAACACAGGGGUCCCGCAUGGGAAUAUUUGUUAAAGGACAACCGGUUGAAGAUGGGCAUGCGUUCCAUUAGCUAGUUGGUGGGGUAAAGGCCCACCAAGGCGACGAUCCGUAGCGGGUCUGAGAGGAUGAUCCGCCACACUGGUACUGAGACACGGACCAGACUCCUACGGGAGGCAGCAGUGAGGAAUAUUGGUCAAUGGACGCAAGUCUGAACCAGCCACGUCGCGUGAAGGAAGACGGCCCUACGGGUUGUAAACUUCUUUUAUACGGGAAUAAAGUGCCCCACGCGUGGGGUUUUGCAUGUACCGUAUGAAUAAGGAUCGGCUAACUCCGUGCCAGCAGCCGCGGUAAAUCACA